rnacentral:rRNA from 1 species
GGUUAAGCGACUAAGCGUACACGGUGGAUGCCCUGGCAGUCAGAGGCGAUGAAGGACGUGCUAAUCUGCGAAAAGCGUCGGUAAGGUGAUAUGAACCGUUAUAACCGGCGAUGUCCGAAUGGGGAAACCCAGUGCAAUUCGUUGCACUAUCGUUAACUGAAUACAUAGGUUAACGAGGCGAACCGGGGGAACUGAAACAUCUAAGUACCCCGAGGAAAAGAAAUCAACCGAGAUUCCCCCAGUAGCGGCGAGCGAACGGGGAGCAGCCCAGAGUCUGAAUCAGCUUGUGUGUUAGUGGAACGGUCUGGAAAGUCCGACGGUACAGGGUGAUAGUCCCGUACACCAAAAUGCACAGGUUGUGAACUCGAAGAGUAGGGCGGGACACGUGGUAUCCUGUCUGAAUAUGGGGGGACCAUCCUCCAAGGCUAAAUACUCCUGACUGACCGAUAGUGAACCAGUACCGUGAGGGAAAGGCGAAAAGAACCCCGGCGAGGGGAGUGAAAAAGAACCUGAAACCGUGUACGUACAAGCAGUGGGAGCACCUUCGGGUGUGACUGCGUACCUUUUGUAUAAUGGGUCAGCGACUUAUAUUCUGUAGCAAGGUUAACCGUAUAGGGGAGCCGCAGGGAAACCGAGUCUUAACUGGGCGUUAAGUUGCAGGGUAUAGACCCGAAACCCGGUGAUCUAGCCAUGGGCAGGUUGAAGGUUGGGUAACACUAACUGGAGGACCGAACCGACUAAUGUUGAAAAAUUAGCGGAUGACUUGUGGCUGGGGGUGAAAGGCCAAUCAAACCGGGAGAUAGCUGGUUCUCCCCGAAAGCUAUUUAGGUAGCGCCUCGUGAAUUCAUCUUCGGGGGUAGAGCACUGUUUCGGCUAGGGGGUCAUCCCGACUUACCAACCCGAUGCAAACUACGAAUACCGAAGAAUGUUAUCACGGGAGACACACGGCGGGUGCUAACGUCCGUCGUGAAGAGGGAAACAACCCAGACCGCCAGCUAAGGUCCCAAAGUCAUGGUUAAGUGGGAAACGAUGUGGGAAGGCACAGACAGCCAGGAUGUUGGCUUAGAAGCAGCCAUCAUUUAAAGAAAGCGUAAUAGCUCACUGGUCGAGUCGGCCUGCGCGGAAGAUGUAACGGGGCUAAACCAUGCACCGAAGCUGCGGCAGCGACACUAUGUGUUGUUGGGUAGGGGAGCGUUCUGUAAGCCUGCGAAGGUGUGCUGUGAGGCAUGCUGGAGGUAUCAGAAGUGCGAAUGCUGACAUAAGUAACGAUAAAGCGGGUGAAAAGCCCGCUCGCCGGAAGACCAAGGGUUCCUGUCCAACGUUAAUCGGGGCAGGGUGAGUCGACCCCUAAGGCGAGGCCGAAAGGCGUAGUCGAUGGGAAACAGGUUAAUAUUCCUGUACUUGGUGUUACUGCGAAGGGGGGACGGAGAAGGCUAUGUUAGCCGGGCGACGGUUGUCCCGGUUUAAGCAUGUAGGCUGGUUGUCCAGGCAAAUCCGGAUAAUCAAGGCUGAGGUGUGAUGACGAGGCACUACGGUGCUGAAGUAACAAAUGCCCUGCUUCCAGGAAAAGCCUCUAAGCAUCAGGUAACAUUAAAUCGUACCCCAAACCGACACAGGUGGUCAGGUAGAGAAUACCAAGGCGCUUGAGAGAACUCGGGUGAAGGAACUAGGCAAAAUGGUGCCGUAACUUCGGGAGAAGGCACGCUGGUGUGUAGGUGAAGUCCCUGCGGAUGGAGCUGAGACCAGUCGAAGAUACCAGCUGGCUGCAACUGUUUAUUAAAAACACAGCACUGUGCAAACACGAAAGUGGACGUAUACGGUGUGACGCCUGCCCGGUGCCGGAAGGUUAAUUGAUGGGGUUAUCCGUAAGGAGAAGCUCUUGAUCGAAGCCCCGGUAAACGGCGGCCGUAACUAUAACGGUCCUAAGGUAGCGAAAUUCCUUGUCGGGUAAGUUCCGACCUGCACGAAUGGCGUAAUGAUGGCCAGGCUGUCUCCACCCGAGACUCAGUGAAAUUGAACUCGCUGUGAAGAUGCAGUGUACCCGCGGCAAGACGGAAAGACCCCGUGAACCUUUACUAUAGCUUGACACUGAACAUUGAGCCUUGAUGUGUAGGAUAGGUGGGAGGCUUUGAAGCGUGGACGCCAGUCUGCGUGGAGCCAACCUUGAAAUACCACCCUUUAAUGUUUGAUGUUCUAACGUUGGCCCCUUACCGGGGUUGCGGACAGUGUCUGGUGGGUAGUUUGACUGGGGCGGUCUCCUCCCAAAGCGUAACGGAGGAGCACGAAGGUUAGCUAAUCCUGGUCGGACAUCAGGAGGUUAGUGCAAUGGCAUAAGCUAGCUUGACUGCGAGCGUGACGGCGCGAGCAGGUGCGAAAGCAGGUCAUAGUGAUCCGGUGGUUCUGAAUGGAAGGGCCAUCGCUCAACGGAUAAAAGGUACUCCGGGGAUAACAGGCUGAUACCGCCCAAGAGUUCAUAUCGACGGCGGUGUUUGGCACCUCGAUGUCGGCUCAUCACAUCCUGGGGCUGAAGUAGGUCCCAAGGGUAUGGCUGUUCGCCAUUUAAAGUGGUACGCGAGCUGGGUUUAGAACGUCGUGAGACAGUUCGGUCCCUAUCUGCCGUGGGCGCUGGAGAAUUGAGGGGGGCUGCUCCUAGUACGAGAGGACCGGAGUGGACGCAUCACUGGUGUUCGGGUUGUCAUGCCAAUGGCACUGCCCGGUAGCUAAAUGCGGAAGAGAUAAGUGCUGAAAGCAUCUAAGCACGAAACUUGCCCCGAGAUGAGUUCUCCCUGAGACUUUAAGUCUCCUGAAGGAACGUUGAAGACGACGACGUUGAUAGGCCGGGUGUGUAAGCGCAGCGAUGCGUUGAGCUAACCGGUACUAAUGAACCGUGAGGCUUAACCUU